GAUGAACGCUGGCGGCGUGCCUAAUACAUGCAAGUCGAGCGAACGGACGAGAAGCUUGCUUCUCUGAUGUUAGCGGCGGACGGGUGAGUAACACGUGGAUAACCUACCUAUAAGACUGGGAUAACUUCGGGAAACCGGAGCUAAUACCGGAUAAUCUUUUGAACCGCAUGGUUCAAAAGUGAAAGACGGUCUUGCUGUCACUUAUAGAUGGAUCCGCGCUGCAUUAGCUAGUUGGUAAGGUAACGGCUUACCAAGGCAACGAUGCAUAGCCGACCUGAGAGGGUGACCGGCCACACUGGAACUGAGACACGGUCCAGACUCCUACGGGAGGCAGCAGUAGGGUAUCUUCCGCAAUGGGCGAAAGCCUGACGGAGCAACGCCGCGUGAGUGAUGAAGGUCUUCGGAUCGUAAAACUCUGUUAUUAGGGAAGAACAUAUGUGUAAGUAACUGUGCACAUCUUGACGGUACCUAAUCAGAAAGCCACGGCUAACUACGUG
rnacentral:rRNA from 1 species